rnacentral:lncRNA from 1 species
GCAUGAAACACAAGAAUGUUUGGAAUUGCCAAGAGAUGUCCUGGCUGGAUGGCGUGAUAGAAGUGCGAGAGAAGGAGGACACCGGAGCCGGAGCUGAUGCUGACGGAGGACUCCCAGCCUGCAAUGACAGACCUGUGGUCAGUGUUCAGGUAAGAGCCAAGGGGAUUGUGUGCACUGUCUCCUGAAUGGUGACAGGGAGAAACCCUAGAAAUGUCUGCUGCUUCCCGCUGCUCAACGAGUAACACAUAUUAGAUCCUUCUAAGCCUUGGCAAAACAAAUCAAAUAUCACUAUUUUUUUCUUAUCUGUGGAUAAAAGUGUAAGAAAUGUCUAAGGCUAUGGAACACCACUACUAAUCUCUUGCAGGUCCAGUGGCCGUUUAUUUUCUAAGCAUCUAAAUUGAGUUAGUUCAUAUAUAAGUCAAAAAACGAAGUACUAGAAGGUAUCAUACAAAUGCCAAAGAAAUAUGAGGCUCCAGGCCUGCUGGCACUGGCUUCCCUAGCACUCUCUCCUAGUUCCCAAGAUCAACAAGGCUGGUAGAUUUAAGAGCUCUCUCCCACCUCACAACCUCAUACAUAGUGCCAGAUGCUCCCUGAGUUCCACAAAACCUCACUGCCCUGCCACAGCUCUUCACACAAAAGGGAGUCCAGACCACGUCACCAUGGGGGACACCAAUCCAUAGCUCAACCAGGGGCUGAGGUAGAGCACAGAAUGCUCCCAACAGAUCUAAUCUUGAAACUGUAAAUUAAGAAAAAUAAUCAAGAAAAUUUAGAUUUGAAAGAAAGUACAGCAAGAGGUCAUGGGAUAGAACAGAGUCUCUGGGGUGGUGAAUAGUCAAACUUAGAGAAAAAAAUCUAGGAAGGAGAGGAAGCACUGCAGUGAGGAGAGAAAUGGACAGAGAGAAAUAGGGACAGUGAGUGGCACUGAGCUGAGGAUGCACCACCACCGCUAGAGGGCCCCAGACUCCCACGCCAGCCUCGGAUUCCCCAGGCUCCACAGCCCCACAGACCUAUGCGUAUUCAUAAAAAAGCAUUCUUCCCUCCUUAAGACAGUAAGCCUGAGUAAGAAUCUGCUCCAUGCAACCCCAACAGCCCCAGGAAAACAGUGCCACGAGUCUGUUAUCACCAGAAAGGCCAUAUCACCACCCACCUUCUGCAGGCCCACCUGCAUGGCCCUUGGCCCUAACUCCUUGAUACAAAGGAGCUCCACCCUGGCCCACCAUUCCCUGGCUGAGGCCUAGUCCCCACUCUUUCUAAGUACCAUCCCCAAGGGUGCACUCUCAUCCUGGAACUCCACCUUUGGGACCCCCGACCCUUGGUCAACCACCAGAACAGAUAAGGCCAUUGCCUGGAAACUCCUCCUCCCCCUACCCCUCACAGCAAAUGAAGCAGCCUGGAGAGAGCCAGGAUGGCACUCGGAUUAAGGCACCCAUCGCAUGGCUGCUCCCACUCCCAGUGCAGAGAUUCAACAGCACUUUAAUGCAAGUCCACCUGAAGAAACAAGAUCCAAGAAGCUCUCAUCAGCAUGCUUCAUGUGUACACUGAGAUCACGCUGUGCCACUCCAUGAGCACAUCUUCGAAUUCACCAAAGAAUCUACAUUUAUUUUCUAACUGAAUGUGCAUAUGGGCAUGAGGUACACGGUCUUUAAAAGCAUUAGAGGUCAAAGUUCUUAGGAAUCUUAAGUUUACUUGGACACAUGAAAAUAGCAUCCUUGAAAUAACCCUCCCAUCACUACCUUUGUCAAUAUUCUUCCUGAAACAAAAUGAAAGACAUCUAGGGAUGCCUGUGGACACUAUGCUGUGACAUCCCUUGCAUCUUCUAGGCCUGACUGCAUAAGCCAUUGUCCUUUUUCUCCAACUGCCUUAGACACUGUCCCCUCUCCAGCAUCCUCCUCUCGGGGCACCCAUCACUGGCUCCACCUGCCCCAGAGACAAGCACUCAAGGCCUUUUAGUACAAUGGGCUUUACUGUUUAUACCACAGGGGAGCAGAUUGAGAGGGUAUCCAUGCUAAGGUCCCCAAACUCCUACAGUCCCCCUGUUCUCUGACAUUUAGUCCUAACACUAUUCUGGGACUGAAAGCCUUCCUGUACUUAUUGCUCUCUUCUUUUAUUUCUGAGGAUGACCAGCUCUGUUCAACACACAUAGGCAAGGCUAAAAUGUGUCAUGAAGACCAAAGCCUGAUCACGGUGUAUUGCAGAGAAGUAAGCGUCUUCAUCACCUGUCCCCAGGUAGACUUUGAGGAAGAAAUACCCAGCAAUAUCCACAUGCUUGCCCCUCAUUGCUAUGAGGUCACUUCUUCCUCUGUGUUGCUGGGUCAAGCAUACUCCCUGGAACUGAUGAGGCAUUGAAGGAAGCCCCCUUCCUUCAAGGGAUGGCAGCAGAGGAAAGUACCUAGUCACCCUCCUCCCUUUUAUCUUAGUAAGAGCAUGGUCCUCUUGGAACCACGUGUACUUUCCUGUAUUCUGAAGGGAAGGCAAACCCUGUUGGGAGGAGGUAAGGUCUUAUCUGGAAAAUCGUGCCCAAUCAAGGUCAGUGUCCUGGGUCCGGGAGGCAGGUUUCUGAUGGGAAAUUAAAGUUCUGAACUCCAGUACUAAACUACAAGUAAUCCAAGUCAAAAAGUGUACUCUGGGGUAACGAUUCCAUCCUUGCAUGCCCAUGAUGAGGAGCAAGGCCUGAAGGUAGGAGGGCAGAGCCUCGUAACAAAACAAAGCCUGGAUCAAGGAAGCAGCCACACCAGGCACACACACACGUCAGGACAUGUGUUCACUUCCCUGUGUGGUUCCCCAUGUGUGUGCACUUGUAGCAGAUGUCAAGGCCAGCAUGACAGUGACAGCGGACCCAAGGAGGAAGGGAGUUCUGGCAGGGCUGGGGAGAUUCUGCCCUGCUCAGUUUUACUUAGGAAAUAGGAAACAGCGUUGGCAUCCUCUGCCUACAUUUCUGCUCUCAUUUCACCAUUUCCAAUCUUAUGAAAACAUUACAGGAUACUCUCAGCAGGUAUGUCCGAUCCUCAUCAAGCCUCCCAAUGACAGAGAAAGAGUCUCUCUUCUUAUUAGAUCACAGAAUUUAAAGAAAAAUUUUAAAAUCUACUUAUUGUUAUUUUACAUAAAUAUAAACUUCAACAAAUGCUAACUCUUCCAAUAAAAGCAAGAAAACCAGUGAGAUCUGUGGGGUCUUCACAGCUCCCAGAAGAGGCUCCUUCUGUCACGAUCUAAAGGACAGCAAACAUUUCAAAGGUCAGAACCAAUCCAUAGGCAGAAUGGUCAAGAAAAUAAUUUUAAAGAGCUUUAUUUGUUGCUGCUAUAGACCUGAGAGAAAUCUAUCAACCAACAAAGACCUAAAAGACUGGCCUGAUCAACAACAAAAUGAAGCUGACAGCUUCAAAUAAUGGUUCCAUGGUCAGAUUCUGGAAGCCAGUGUAAUCAAAGGCCAGCAAUCCCCUCUUAGGAGCUCUGCAGGACAGAACCUUACUAGAUGGGACAGGACCUCACUAGAUGGGACAGGACCAGCCGUCCUGCUCUUUCUGAAAGCAGCAGGCAGUGUGGCACGUGUGAGCCGGGGGCAGUACUAGCUCCAGAGAACACCUACACUCUCCUCUCCAUAGGAUCAGACCACACACGACUCGACAAUUACUAAUAAAAGUGCAAAUGUUCAUCAUGCAAAAAUCCAAAUGUGUCAAGAAAACUUAGGCCCUCUGUUCCUGAAGUUCUUUGCGGGUUGCCAAAUGACAGACUCUCCAGUCAUGAAAAGGAAUAUAAAGCAAUCUCACUACAAAAAAAAAAAUUCUUGUAAAAAUCCUCCCUUCUUCAGAUGUUGUAAUUAAUUAUGCCAAAACAAACCUCUGGAUUUCUAUCCAAGCCUAAAUCCCAGUUUAUUUUAUUUCUUAGAAAUGAUAAAUACUUUUUGACAAUUUGUUUUGCUACAUCCAAGUCUUUUAGUGGCUGGCUUUGUUAUCAAAUUCACCAUUUUAAAUGAUUUUAACAAGGUUGCCAAAGAACAUACGGGGAAAAAAAACUUUUCCAUAUAUCCUUGGCAGAAACUGGCAUUCCCCUUUUCUCAGUUCCCUUCUGAGAGUGCCUGCUGUCGCUGGAGCAGCUAUAGCAGUGUGUUUACCCAGUUGAUAGUGCACACAUCCUUCUCACUGCAGGACACCAGCGCACCUUCCUUGGCCUCUGGCGCCUUCUGCCAGGUUACUGCCCAGCCUCCUCUAUUACCCACGCCCCUCAUUUUCUGUGCAACCCCCAACUGGGCCUCCUUUUCACUCAUCAGCUAAGCUACUUUUAAACAUUUGGGUCUCAGGCCCCUAACAAAAGCAAAUUUGCCCAUCUGAUUUAUUUCAAAAGGGAGAGGGCCACAGGAAUGAUCUGUUUGAGUGAGCUUGUUUUUAGGCAAGGAGGAACGUGAAGACAGGCUGGAUAAGGAUGGUUAAGAGGCCAGAAGAGCUCAUGUUUACAACUCAUCACAAAUUACAGUACUGCAAAUCAAUGACUUAACAGAAACAAUGGGAAAAGAUGCACAGAUGGCUCUCAAAACAUGAAAAGAUGCUUCAUUUCUCUCACAAUGAGAAAUACAAAUUAAAACUACAAUGAGAUACCAUUAUCAGCCAAGAAAAUUAAUCAAAUAAUAUGUGUUGGCGGAAGUGUUGGGAAGCAGGUAUGCUUAUACAUUGCUGGUGGGAGAGCAAAUGGUAAACCUCCACAGGAUGACAACUGCCCUCAGGAUGACAAAGGCACAUAUACUUUGUCUCAGCAAUUCUUUUAGGAAUUCAUCCUCACACACCUGCGGGAAGAGGUUUGUACACUGCACUAGUUUGUGACAGCAAACGGCUGGAAUCACCCUAAAUGCCCAUCACCUUGGAGCUGAGGCAACACUGUUCCAUCUACAGAAAGAAAUAUCAGCAAUCAUUAAAAAAAUGGGAAAAGUUCUCAUUAUGUCCAGUAAUGAACACACAAAGUGAAACAAGCAGAGAGAGGCACCACUGCCAUCUGUGCUGGUGCUGCACAGACUACUCAGGAGGGAGACCAGGGAACCUGGAUGGAGGGACAUGGACUUGUCACAGAGACCCACAAAACCAUAAUGCCACUUUACACUGAGCAACAUUUCCCAAACAGAAAUUCAUUCUUAAAAUAACAGGUGAUUGAUGAUUUUAAAAAGUAAAACAAAACUGCAGAAGCACAACCAACUGCAACAACUUUCCGACUUUGGGAUGACAGGUAAAGAAAUCAAUGUAGUGGGUGAUGACCUAUGUUUUUAAAAGUACAAUAAAAUAGAAUAUGUCAGAAUGUAUCUGACAUAAAAAGGAUAAAGUCUUUUGAGGUAAUUUUGUCUCUCAGAUGUGUAUGCAAAAGUGAACUGGGUUUCAAUAUAAAAGCUACUUCUGGCCAGGCGCGGUGGCUCACGCCUGUAAUCCCAGCACUUU